UACGUAGGGUGCGAGCGUUAAUCGGAAUUACUGGGCGUAAAGCGUGCGCAGGCGGCGCGUUAAGACAGGUGUGAAAGCCCCGAGCUUAACUUGGGAAUUGCGCUUGUGACUGGCGUGCUGGAGUGUGGCAGAGGGAGGUGGAAUUCCACGUGUAGCAGUGAAAUGCGUAGAGAUGCGGAGGAACACCGAUGGCGAAGGCAGCCCCCUGGGCUGACACUGACGCUCAGGCACGAAAGCGUGGGGAGCAAACAGG
rnacentral:rRNA from 1 species